rnacentral:rRNA from 1 species
UACGAAGGGGGCUAGCGUUGCUCGGAAUCACUGGGCGUAAAGCGCACGUAGGCGGCUUUCUAAGUCAGGGGUGAAAUCCUGGAGCUCAACUCCAGAACUGCCUUUGAUACUGGAGAGCUUGAGUCCGGGAGAGGUGAAUGGAACUCCGAGUGUAGAGGUGAAAUUCGUAGAUAUUCGCAAGAACACCAGUGGCGAAGGCGGCUCACUGGCCCGAUACUGACGCUGAGGUGCGAAAGCGUGGGGAGCAAACAGG